GGGGGGUGCUGCGGGAAAGGCGGGGGACACCGGGACGUCCAAGUGUGACCCGGGAAGCUCCCAGGAACAUAAACCAUCUUCCUGAUUCCUCCGACUUACAGCUUCCCGGGGCCACAGUGAGCGUCUUUGCUCUUGGUGUUGGGCCCUCGUUUGGUUUUGGAGCGGCGGGAGCGAGUCUCCAGGGCCGGAGCUGGGACCUCCGUUGGCGGCUCGCCUGUCGGGAGACCCCCGCCCCCAGAGGGAAGGCCAACGUCACGAGGUCUGUGGUCGUGAAGGUUUCCAUGGAUAUCAUAAAGUGCUUUGUGUAUUGGAAACAGUGAAUAAAAAGGUAAGAAUGGUGGUGCCCCGGGAAAUCUCCAAGAGCAACUUCAAGAGCCAGCUACCCCAGUAAUCCCUACAGUUGGAGAAUUCAUGCCAAAGGAAAAAUCUGGAGCAUCUCACAAACUGUGGGGUUGGGAAAGCUAAUCUAGUUCUUGCAGAUGCACAAAAUGGUCACCUUUUUUCUAUCUGUGAAAGGAAACUGUGCAGGGGACAGUUGGUUUCCUACUGGGCUGAUGUCAGAUUAAUGACCUUGCCUCUUUUAAACCCUUACUUUUGAAGAAAUGCGGAAAUGCAGCAACUAUUUCAGGAUUCAGUGAGACAGAGGAGCAGGGUGAUGCUGAUGUUAUAUAAUUUUAAUACUUUCAAUGAUAAUAAUAACAUCUGAUACUUAUGAAACACUUAUUAUAUGCCAAGCAUUAAAACAGUAGUUCUCAACAAAGGGUGAUUUCCCCCUCCCUUCCGCCCACCUGCCAAGAGAACAUUUGGAAAUGUCUGGAGACAGUUUCUUUUGUGCUGAUGGAGAGGAUGGUGGUUGGUAGUUGAAGUGCUACUAAAAUCUAGCAGGCAGAUGCUAAGGUUGCUGCUAAAUGACUUAGAAUGCACAGGAUAGCACACUCAAAAAUCAGGAAAGAAUUAUCCCACCCAAAAUCUCAAUGGCAUUGAGGUUGAAUAACUGCUCUAGACUGAAGCGUCUGCACAGAUUUAACCUUCACAAUAACCCUAUGAGAUACACACUAUUAUUAUCUCCAGUUUAUGGAAGAGUACAUUUAAGCUUAAAGGAACUAGCUCCAAUUAUUUUGACCUUUCAACUGUCUCAGGUUUCUUUCUUGAGAUCUAUUUGGUACUACGAUCAUUGCAGACAAUUUAGACCUGUCCAGUGGCUGGGAAUUAGUUUCCUCAAAUGUCAGAAUGAAAGUUACUCGGCUCAUGCUGACCCAAUUCCCAUCCCAUUCCGGGAUGAUGCUGACUAACAGCUGGUGGCUGGAGCUGUGGGAGAAGAUAUUAUAUAAUGUCUACAAAAGUAAUGAAAAGUUGACUUAACCACUAAGAUAAGCAACCAGCAAGAUAGAGACUGAGAAUCUACACUGAUUCAUGAAUAUGUUUUCUAAGCAUGAUAUCUAGAUCCCGCCCCCCCCACAUCCUCUGUUCUUUAGUCCCAAUUUUAGAUAGUGAUGUGGCAUGUGCUGUUGAGAAAACAAAGCUCUCAAUGCCAUGAGAAUCAGACGGAGAGGCAAUCUCUGCACUGCAACCUUAUACUGAAUUAGGUCAUUGAAUUCCAAGAGCAUGGCUCCCGUGGAAGACAACUUCUGACUUUUCUUUUUUCCUUUCUUUUUUUCUUUCUGAUAAUUGCAUAGCUUCUUGUCAAAAUAUUUAUGAGUAGAGACAGGAAAAUCAGGCUCUUUCUUUAAACCAUCCUUCUGCAUCUGGCUCAGCUUUUCUUACUACUUCUCUUUCUUCUGCUUGGUUUUCAAGUCUUAGUUUUUUCCCAACUUUUUCACAUUUCUCUCUAUUUACAUUUUCUCUUGUUUAAUAGUCCCCACUACCCAUGUAAAAUGUGUCAGAGGGAAGAGAGAAGAAUUGUCUAAAUAAUUAGAUUGACCAUGUGCCAGGCCCAUCAGCAUGGUUGGGUCUGCGAGGGCAUUGGCCUCUUUAGUGUAGUGAAGGAACAUUAACUUUUAAGUCUUUUGUAAAGGAAUGAAAGCUCCCUGAAAGUCUGUGAAACACAAUCUUGGUAUAUUAGGGUACAAAACCAAAUAAUUUCCUGUCUUACCAUUUUCAAAAACUAUCCACUCUAACCAGCCAUCUGCUUUGUUCGUGCUGUUGAAGCAUCUUUAAAUAUGAUUGUUACCAUUUCAAUUAACUGAAUUUAUGAUACUCAACAUACAAGUUAACUUAGCAGAUAUUGAUUAAUCAUGUAUUAUGGGUCAGGUGAUGUGCUGUGAGAGGUAUGAAGAUGCACACGUCAUAACCUCUGCUCUAAAGAAAAUAUUUGGGUGGGGAGGAUGAUUAAAUAGGUAUUCAAUUAUCCUUAUACAUGUAAGUAUCUGUAUUAAUUAUCUAGUGCUGUAUAACACAUUGUCCUAAAACUUCAUGACAUAGGAUAACACAUAUUUAUCAUCUCGAUUUCUGUAAGUCAGGAGUUUGAGUGUUUCUUAACAGAGACUUUAGUUUCCAAGUUUCUCACAAAACUAGGAUCAAUGUGUCAAUCUAGCAUUUGUGGUCUCAUCUAAAGUCUCAACUAGAGAAAAAGUCAUGUCUGAGCUCACUUAUGUGGUUGUUGGGAGGAGUCAACAACUACGUAAGUGAGAAGGCAAUUGAGAGAGUUUGCUACCAAAAGUCACAACUUUCUAUCAACUAAUUUUGGAAGUGACAGCCUGCUGCUUGUGUGUAUUCAAUUAAUCAGAAGCCAAUCACUAAGCCCAGCCACCAUUCAAGAAGAGAGAAUUAUACCAGAGCUUGAACAGCAGGAGAGGGAAUCAUCACAUCCUUAGAAGCUGUAUCAGAAGCUGCCUAUCACAGAAAGUUUAAGGAUUGUUAAAUAGAGCUCAAAGAAGUUGUGAUUUUGUGAUAGCAGAGAGUAGUAAAGAAAUCUUAUCUUUAAGAGGAGAUAUUUUCUGACUACAUAGAUGUUGGACUGCUCUAGAAGGUUUUGGCAUCUACCUCGUGAUGUUUGGAAUAAUUCCAGACCUAUGGAAUUUGUGAUUGGAACCUUGGUAGCUAACCACAUAGAUUUUAUGUCCCUAGCUAUGAUGAAGCAUGGAGCUUCAACAAUAUCCCCAAAGUCCCAUUUAUGGUUGUUCUGUUUGUAAUCUUUGUCACAAGAAAUUGUUUGUACUCAAAGAUCAUUUAAUUGUGCAUCUAUUUGUGUGUGUGUGUAAUCGUUAUUUGACCCUUGAGCAAUGUGGGGAUUAGAGGGACCAAUCUCUAUGUAGUUGAAAACUUGCAUAUAAAUUUUGACUAUCCCAAAACACAACUAAUAAUAGCCGACUAUUGACUAGAAGCCUUAUUGAUAAUAUAAA